GAGAAGCUAUAAAGCAUAUUGCAGCUCUUUUACCUAAAGAUUGCCAAAAUAGUCAUGAGCGUAGUUCAUGAGCCUAAAGAAUACCAGCUUUGUUCACGAGCCUAAAGAUUGCCAAAAUAGUCGAGCAUCAGCCAUUUGUGGUCAAAAGUCACCAAAAGCUUAGUAUUUUUUGCUAUAGUUUUGAUCAUCUCACCUCUUGAAUAGAUCUUUGGAGCUGUUGUCUGCUGUAAAUUUUGGUGCAAUUUGUUUUAAUUAUUAAUCCGGCCAAACUUUAUUAUGUAUUGUGUCACAACUAUAUGUUAUUGCCUCUUGCUUUUGCCUUUUUAUAUCCUAUAGCAGCAUGUUUGAAACUUGAUGAGCAUUCCACCAAGCGCAUCAUCUAACUUUUGGUCUUCUGUUUUUCUUUUGAUUGAUUGAAAGCAGUUCUUAUUUUAUUUUAUUUGUGGGUUUUGGUUUUCUGAGAGGCUAUUUGAUUUGAUAAUUAAUGUUUAUCAGAUCAAAUCAUGUGGUGGGGCUAAAUUAUAUCUUAAUAUAUCGUUUUAGAAUUGAUAAUGACAAACAUUAGACUCUCAUUGUGACCACAAACUCAUAAACUUAUCUUGUGGAAAUCUGACUGCAACAUUCCAUUGGCCUAAUGUCCCUAGGCCGGCUUUGUUUUUAGUCGACAAGACAAAGCCUGCUACUGAUAUUACCAAGUGGAAAAUGGCCUUUUAAUCCUUGUUUAUUCCCAUGUUCCAUUAUCUUCUUGGGUGAUGAGUAUCCUCUGGGAAUCUUUUAGAGGAUCGUUCAACUAAUCUUUCCAUCUUCUUGUAGUAUAUAUGUGAUCCCAUUAGAUUUGCUUAUGUUUUUCUGGCCCCAUACUAAGCAUCAUAUGGUUGGUUGAAAAGUUGCUUAAACAACUAAUAGCACUCUAGCUUUUUUAUAAUGACACUCCUUUGAAAACUAUAGUGACAGUGUUAAUAUAAAAACAGUGGGGUGGCGUGGCAGUAAUAUUUCCAGACUUUCCAGAUUGGUGAUUGAAAUAGCUGUCUGAAAAAAAAAAAAAAAAUUGCAAGGUUCUUGUAAGAGUUUCAAAGAGGCAACAGUUUUUAUAAAUGUAUCAAUGGUUUUCUUAUAAUCGGUAUGUCACAUCUUACAUGGUAUGGUAAUGUGGAUUUUAGUUUAUUUCUUCCGUUUUUAUUGAGUAAUGAUGUGGAAAUCAUAAUAUGGUAUAAUUAUUAUUUGAAAAAAUUACAAUGCUUUACUAUUCUUGCCAAACUUACCGUAAAUGCAUACUAUAAACCUCAAUUUAGAAAUGAUAUCACCAAUUGUUCAUGAAUUUUUUAAAAAACAAUAUAUUCUGCCAUUCAUGAAGAUAGUGUACUUUGCUUGCUAACUUUGGCUUGUCAAUGAAUUUGCUCCUUCCAAUCCUUUUUCAUAGCAUUCAUAAGACAACAAUCGAACCAGUAGACAAUUGUAAACAAUUUUGAUCGGUACCAAUCCUUGGAAUUUUUAAUAAACAUUAUUAGGAACACACCUAUGCAGAAACCAUGCUUUUUCAUGAUCAAAUUUGCAUGGCAAAAACCAGUUAUAGUACUCGGGACUUUGUUUUCUCGUUUUUAAAUAAAUUGAGGUGUUCUCAAUACCAAGUAAAGCAUACAAUGCAAUGAUGCUUCUUUUAUGAUCUAGAAGUAAGUUUUUCUCCUUCAAGCCCCUCAAUACUAGGUAAAGCAUACAAUGCAAUUUCGAUCAUAGAUCGGGGGAUCAAAUCCUUGCAUUUAUAAUAAAAUCUAAAAGGUGAGCAAUAAUGCUUCUCUUAUGAUCUAGAAGUACGUUCUCUCCCUCAAGCCCCUCAAUAGCCUAGUUAGACCCUUUCCUAAUAUAGGGUAGAAUUGGAGUGCAUAGAUGUUGCUGAUUUAACCAAAAAAAAAAAAAAAAAGAGGUGGUUUCAAGGUGCAAGAAGUUGUUUUUGCUGUUGUAAAGUAUUUUGACUAAUAUUUACUAGUUUUGUGAAUAAUUAAGAAUUUAUAUGUUUAAUAUUUCUUGUCUAGACUGAUGAUGAGAAAAUUAAUCAAGUUUAUUUUAAAUACCCCAUUAACAACUUGUAGUUUUCCAUUAAAGAACUACACUGGACACAAUUUCUAAAGUUAGUUUUUUGUAACGCCUAAGAGAUCGCAAGAAAAGGGCAAUUUUAGAAUGAAAUUAUCUUCUGUCUUCCAAAAUGAAUGUUUUAACAUUAUAUUUUAAAGUGAUUGACAAUGCUAUAAAAUGAUAUAAGCAGGGGAGGUCACUAAUAUUUCUCAAAGUUCAAGGGUGCUAAAAUAAUACUAUCAAAAACCUUUCUGAAAUUAUCUCAAAAAAUAGUUCCUUUAAAGUUAGAAAUAAGUAAGAAUCAAUUAUUUUGACUAUAUGAUUGUCAUAUACAAUCUUUGUUCUUGCCAUGAGUUAGGAUGCGUUUGACAAAAUUGAAAUUUGGAAACUAAAAUAUAAAAUAUAAAUCUAAAAUUUGAAUCCAUUAGACUACUAAACUGUUAAAUACUAAAUUUGAUACGUUUGAAUGUAUAUCACAUUAAGUAAUAAGUGAAUAGCUUAUCACUUAGUUUUUGGAACAAAUUUUGCCUAGAAAAUUCAGUUCUAUUUAAUUAUUCAGAUGUUCUAUUUUUUAUUAACACAAAUGCAUCUGAACAUGUUAAGAUCUGAACCCAUUAAAUUUAAAUAUUGAAUAGGUUAUCAAAUAGGACAUAGUCUUUAUUUUCCCUAGCCAAAUAGAAAAAAAAUAUAUUGGGAUAAUUUCAGAAACCUCCACUAAAGUUUCUAAUAGUUGUAGGAGCCUCCUUUGAGGUUUUAAAUAUUGCACGUACCUCCCUUCAUGUAAACUUGCAUAAAUAACCCUCACAUACUAGUUAGACCCAUUUAUACAAAAAAAAUCAUAUGGGAAUGGAACAUCAACUGUAACCAUCCAUCUUGCUUUCCCACUAAUUAAAAAUCUUAGCUCCUAUUCUAAAAACUACAUUCCAACCAUCAAUCUUUCAUUUUCACGUCAAUUUAUACAACUUUUAAUUACCAUCAUUCACCAACUACAACUUCAUGAUCUCUUUUUCUUCUUGGAUGAAUCCUAGAUUUUCUUCCUUAUUCUUGUGGCUUAACAAAAUAGCUUCUUCUACUCUCUAAGUCAUAUCCCAAUUCUUCCUCUUACUUUUUUUUUCAUUGAAAAAAAUAAACAAAGGGCAAAAGUUGCAUGAUAGUCGUGGGAAAAAUAAGGGGAAAAUGAUAAAACAAAUAUCAAGCACUUCAUCUCUAUCAAUUUGAUAUUGAGACCAUUAAUCAUAUAUUAAAAAAGUUUCGUGGCACUAAACCUACAUUUGGCAGUUUGGGAAGAACUUCCGGAGUAACAGAUUUUUCUUUUUAAAUUAAGAGAAGGGUAUUAUAGGAUAUUCAAAUGUAAAUUUGGCAUGUAUCAGCAUUUUGGGCCUAUUUUAUUACCUAAACCAUUAAAAGAGGGGAGGUUUGUGUAAUUUUUAGAACUUUAAGGGAGCUUCCUAUAAUUGUUAGAAGCCUCAGGAAGUUUUCUAAAAUUAUCCCAAAAAGAUCGCCAUAAAGUUCUUUCUGGUUUUUUGGGAAAUUACCUCUCUGAUUAGUGUGAACUUGCUUGUAACGAGUAUAUUAUCCAAACACAAAAAUAGAAUGUUAAGGAUAACUGCAUCUAACCUCAGGCGUGGGUUUGUGCCUUCUCUGGAGAAUGGUUAAGAGUACUUCUCUAUUGAAUUUUAAUGCUUCUUGGUUUAAAUAUGUCAUUUGGCCAUUUUAUGUCCAACCUUUCCUCAUGUUUCUCCUUUGGUCUGUCAAGUUUGUUCUCAAUUGUGACUUAUCUAACCUUAUGUAACCAUUAGUUCCUUUAGAAUGUUGCUUCUUGGAUGAUUUUUAGAUAAUACUACAUGCAUCUAGAGCUCAUUAGAUUUGGUUACAUGCCAAGGUAAAACUUUUGUAUGAUAUUGGAUGUUUGGUAGACUACUGGCAUUUUACCUCUUCCUCUCUUAAAUGGCACCAUUGGUGAUGCCAAUCGCACACAGAGAUUUCUUGUCCCUCAAUGUCACAGUUCUUGUGAAGUCAUCUUUUGCUAAAUCAACCUUUCUGUCUGCCUAAAAUAGGACAAAAUCUAACAUAGGAAAUUUCUUGUUCUUCUUGUUGCAACAUGUUUCCAGCUAUCUGCCCAAGGAGAUGAGGGAGCCUGCUACUUCAAAUGUGAGUGCAAAAUUGCAUUUUCACAUGAUAUAGCUGAUUUUUUUCUAUAUAAUUUAAGAAGUCUCAGCUUCCCCUUCCCCAACACCCCCCCCACCCUCAACACCACCCCCAACAAAACCCCCAACCAAAAAAAAAAAAAAACACCAAAGUCCUAAAGGACCUUCAUACCCUUAUGUUGAAUGCAUUCUGGCAAACUAAAAUUAUUGAUACACUUUCGUCCCUUGGAUGGAUUAAGACUAUAAGAUUUUAUUAACAUUUAUGUAUGGAAAUCCUUGCUAGGAUCCUAUGAAUUUUCUGCUUUGCUAAAAUUUUUUGGUUUCCCUAUAGUUUCUAUAUCAUCCAAACUCAUUUGUAGAGCUUUUUAUUUUGUUUCAGGGAUUCAGAUAUUUAGUCAUAUUAUGCUAAUAGUUACCUUAUCCUGUUAUCACCUUAGCCAUAGAAAUAGAUGUGAAACUUGCAUCAAGUUAUUUAUGUUGAGCCCGAAUGCUGUGCAUUUUUGUGGCAGGGAUGCUACAGAAUCCAGCAUAUCGUCAGCAACUACAAGACAUGCUGUAAGUGAUUUCUGCUUAACUGACUUCUAUAGAUGUGCCUUAUUAUUUUGCAUCGAAUACUUGUCUACAUUUGCUUGAUUUUUAAAGUCUAGAACUUGGGUUCGUUGGUUUUGUUAUUAAUUUUUAUUUAAACCUUUACAAUUCACUGACUGCAGUAAACCUGUAUCUUUUGUCACAACUUAAGCUAAAAUAAUGUCUAGUAUAGUAAUAGGAUUUUUUUGGUCGACAUUGUAUUUCAUUGGGUUAAUACUAUUUACAACCUUAAAUGCCCGACCCUACAACUGUGCAUGGAAGCCUUAAUUUAAAGCAUGAUGGAUUUGUCUGGGCCAUUGUGCCAGUGGAGUUAACUUUUGGUUUAGUGAAGCGUCUAUCAAAUGGGAGAUAGGAACAUUUGCUUUUGAAGAUUUGUUUUAAAUGCCUAUUCUUACUCAUGAAGUGUAUUUCUUUGGUUACUGUUUUUGGGGCUACUCGUUUGAUACUUUCCACUUCCUAUUGCCACCAUAGCAAUGACAGAACUGGUCUGUUGGUGGUUUUUUUUUCCUUCUUUGUUUGUUUUUGGGGGGGGGGGCGGGGAUGGGACUUACGUUUCCCUCAAAAGUUUAGUUAUUUUCAUAUAGAUCAUUAACAAAAUUAAAUGUUGGCCCCUCAAGACUUCUCUCAAUUGAAUUUAGGCCCCCAAUGUUGUACAGAUAUAAGUUUUGCCACCUUGCCCCAAAUCCACUAUUUCUUGGUUUUUAGUGUUCUCACUUUUCCUGUUUUCAGUUUGUAGGCUAAUUGCGUAUUUUUGUGUGUGUGUGUUUGUGUGUUAUAAUUUGGGGGCAUGGGGGCCGGGUUUGAUUGACCUACACUAUUUUUUGCAUUAACCUACAGUUGCCUCUGACAUUUGUUUGGAUGGUAUAUAAUUUACAGUGUACCUUUUUAUAUGCCAAUGCCUGCCUAUCUUUUUCCAUUUCUAUUUCUCCUAAUAGGAGCAACAUUUUCUGUUUCUAUUUCUCCUAAUAGGAACAAGAUGGGUGGAAGUCCUGAAUGGGACAACCAGAUGGUGGACACCUUGAAAAAUUUUGAUCUUAACAGUCCUGAGGUCAAGCAGCAGUUUGGUAAGUGUCUUUGAUGUUUUCUUUUGCUGCAUUACUUACAUAUGCAUCUUCCAUGUACAGUGUCUUUUGAGGUAUUGUUAUAUUUGUAUUGUGUACUUCAAAUCUUAACUUGAUUAUAUGAAUGAAUGCUUGGUGAACUAUAUCGAUAGACUAGGUAUAAAGGUCUUGACCUUUAGUAGGUUUACUUGGUUCUCACCAGUAGCAUCCCAUCUCCUACUUCCAUCGGCCCACCACUUCCAGAGUUUGAAAUACACAAACUUGCAUUUGUGUACUGCUUGUUUAGAUUAAUGUCAUCUUUCUAGACUUGUUAUCUCAGUGCUUAAGUGAGAUACUUUUGGUUGGGGGGAGCAUCUUUUAAUCUGGCUGCAGAAACAAUCGAAAAGCUUUAGCAUCUUGUAAAAUUGUGGACACACAUGGGCCACAUGUUUGUCAAAAGAACAAAGAUGGAAGGCAUAAUUAGAUAUGAAGUGUUUUGCUUCUCAAUUCACUUAAGUACCUUUUACAGCGAAAAUUUUUCUCCUGAAUGAUGUCAAGUAAAUGUUGGAGCAUAUUCAACAAUUCUUUGUAAGUGAAGCAUUUAAAAGUGAUUUCAGGUCUGAUGUUGGGAGCUGUUAUAUGAAUUACUACCCUGAAUGGAAUGGAGUAAGUUAUGCUCUGAUGUUUAAGGAGAUGAUUUCUUUUCUUGACACGUAGUUAAAAUAACAAAACUGUUAAAAGGUGAUGGAUUGACAAGCAUGUAAGCAUUUGGGUUGCUCCAGUUUAAGCUGAAGCUCUUUUAGAAAAUGCUAGAGAAGCCAUUCAAGUUGUUGAGGUCAAGGGCAUGGGAGCUAAAGCUUCUGUGAUUGAUAGACCUGAGAGUGUUAGUGUCGUUCAAGAACUGCUUUCUUUGAGAAGGUAAAGUCAUUUCUAGGAGGUGCCAUUGUUGUGCAACCAAAGUAUAUAAGUGCUGAUUAUGUGGUUACACAUGCUCUUUUCAUUUUUAUGAAAACUUGAAGCAUAAUCCUACUGCCCAAAAGUUCUGUCUCUACAACCUUGAUGGUCAAAACUAGUAAAGGUGGAAUGCAAGGUACUGAUCCAAAGCCAUUUUCUCGAGGAAAGUUCUGCAAAACUGCUGUUGGGAGUGAAAGAAUUUCCUGGAUGGGCUUCAGUUGCAAAGAUUGAGCAGAGUUUAUGUUUGAGAUGAGCCUGACCGGUAAAGAUGAUCUGUUAGAUAUUAUCCUGGGUGGUGAUUGAUGGUAGGAAUGUUAUGUCACUAUCUAACAGGAUGGGUUUGGGAAGUGUACAAGUGGAUACUUGCAUCCCCUUGGUAAGGGUGCCCUAUGGGUUUCUAUAUGUUGGCCAGUACCCACCUAAUGGGCUGGGCUUUUUAAGCAGUUUGCUUGUGAUAGAGAUGGUAUUCAUAUGAAUUCCAUUUGCCUUUUUGGCUCUUCCUGAUAGAGUGAGGUUGGUCCUAUGAUGAGGAGGCAUGAAAUUGUUUCUGGAAGAUUUUAAAGUAGCUGUAUGUGGGCUUUUAUGCUCAGUAGCUACUUGAUAUGUCUGUAGAAAUACUGGAUUGAGCAAGGACAGGAACUCUAGAGGCUUCAAAGUUGAAUCAGCCUUGAGGGUCGAAGAAGAUGGGAGGCUUGCUACUGGAACUCCUCCCUAGCAAUUAAUGGAAAAAUAAUACAAUUAUAUUUUAGAUGUUAUAUCAAUUGGUCUUUGAUGUCAAUAAACUGGUGGUUGCCUACACCAUCAUGAUUUCAGGAAUCAAUUGCUUUGAGCUUUUGCUGUCGAUUCAAUUUCAUAGUUUGCCCUAGUGCUUUGUAUUUGUGCUUGCGGUUUCCAUACACUUGUAAUUCUGAAGCUCGCUAGCUCGUGUACAUGGGGAGUGAUAUCCUUUUUCAACUUCAUUUUCUUCAGUAAAAUCUAGCUGUGAAACAUUUGUAUUUGACAAGCAAAAUCUCGUGUCAAUUUAUUGACUCUCUACCUGAUAUAAUCAUGGUAGAUAUUACCUUUAACAUUUCACCCUCUUAUUUGGUUGAUUACGUACAUAUGCAGAUCAAAUAGGACUUACUCCUGAGGAAGUCAUUUCAAAAAUUAUGGCCAAUCCUGAUGUUGCUAUGGCAUUUCAAAAUCCCAGAAUUCAAGCUGCUAUCAUGGAUGUAUGUGCUUCUUGUACCAUUUUCUCAUUCUGCUUAUUAGUUCCACAUAGUUCUAAUUUUAUUUUUGGGUUUGCUUGAGUUUUAUACCCCGGUUUAUGUAUUUUCUGAUUCUAAUUUUCCUUUUGGGUGCUUAAGUUUUACUCCCUGGCUUAACGUAAUUUCUGAUACAGUGCUCUCAAAAUCCACUCAGUAUUGCCAAAUAUCAAAAUGAUAAGGAGGUAAGCGGAAAAUUUUCUCUUUGGGCACUUCAAUUUCAUGUUGUCCCCUGCCAUUUUUGUUUUUUGUCCACUUCCUGCAAGAUAAACAGUAAUUGUUGGCUAGGUUUGUCCAUCUCUCAAUUGCUGGAGGCAAAUAGAUGGGGUCAUUAUUAAGGCCUAGUGAAUUGUUGACCUUUCCACUAAUAUCUAUUCUGGAAUGGUGUGUGUGAAGCUAUCGUGGGCUUCAUUUAGCACAUCCAUCGACAUAUGACGAUGUUUGCUUCUGCAAAUUUGGAUUGAUGUGUUGCUAUUUAUGCUCAGGUUAUGGAUGUUUUCAACAAGAUAUCAGAACUCUUUCCUGGGGUGACAGGUUCACAGUGACUUCAUAGUUCUGACUGUGUCCCCUAAACAGUUAAAAGAUGCAAAUUGAGGAGAAGCUAUAAAGCAUAUUGCAGCUCUUUUACCUAAAGAUUGCCAAAAUAGUCAUGAGCGUAGUUCAUGAGCCUAAAGAAUACCAGCUUUGUUCACGAGCCUAAAGAUUGCCAAAAUAGUCGAGCAUCAGCC
rnacentral:lncRNA from 1 species